rnacentral:rRNA from 1 species
GACGAACGCUGGCGGCGUGCUUAACACAUGCAAGUCGAACAGAAAGGCCCUGCUUGCAGAGUACUCGAGUGGCGAACGGGUGAGUAACACGUGGGUGAGCUGCCCUGCACUUCGGGAUAAGCCUGGGAAACUAGGUCUAAUAACGGAUAGGAGCCAGUCGUAGUGUGAUGGUUGGAAAGUUUUUUCGGUGUAGGAUGAGCUCGCGGCCGACCAUCUUGUUGGUGGGGUAAUGGCCUACCAAGGCGGCGACGGGUAGCCCGCACGAGAGGGUGGACGGGCACCAUAGGACUGCGAGACGGCGCAGAAUGCUACGGGAGGCAGUGGUGGCGAAUAUUGCCGAGUAAGGGCAAGUGUGAUGAGGAGAUGCUGCGUGCGUGAUGACCGCUUUUGAGUUGAGAACGCCUGUCGGUAGGGAAGAAGCACUCUGUGACGGUAACUAGACAGAAAGCAACGGCUAACUACGUG